rnacentral:rRNA from 1 species
UGCAAGUCGAACGGAGGCCCUAGCUUGCUAGGUGUCCUUAGUGGCGCACGGGUGAGUAACACGUGGGAACAUACCUUAUAGUACGGAAUAACUGCGGGAAACUGUAGCUAAUACCGUAUAUUCCAGUAAUGGGAAAGAUUUAUCGCUAUAAGAUUGGCCCGCGCAAGAUUAGUUUGUUGGUGAGGUAAAAGCUCACCAAGGCUACGAUCUUUAGCUGGUUUGAGAGGACGAUCAGCCACACUGGGACUGAGACACGGCCCAGACUCCUACGGGAGGCAGCAGUAGGGAAUAUUGGACAAUGGGGGCAACCCUGAUCCAGCAAUGCAGCGUGAGUGACGAAGGCCUUAGGGUUGUAAAACUCUUUCAUCGGUGAGGAUAAUGACAGUAGCCGAAGAAGAAGGACCGGCUAAUUCCGUGCCAGCAGCCGCGGUAAUACGGAAGGUCCUAGCGUUGUUCGGAAUUACUGGGCGUAAAGCGCAUGUAGGCGGAACAGAAAGUUAGAAGUGAAAUCCCUGGGCUCAACCUAGGAAUUGCUUUUAAAACUUCUGUUCUGGAAUUCAGGAGAGGAAAAUGGAAUUUCCAGUGUAGAGGUGAAAUUCGUAGAUAUUGGAAGGAACACCAGUGGCGAAGGCGAUUUUCUGGACUGAUAUUGACGCUGAGAUGCGAAGGCAUGGGUAGCAAACGGGAUUAGAUACCCCGGUAGUCCAUGCAGUAAACGAUGGGUGCUAGUCGUCGGACUUUUGUUCGGCGUCGUAGCUAACGCGUUAAGCACCCCGCCUGGGGAGUACGGUCGCAAGAUUAAAACUCAAAUAAAUUGACGGGGACCCGCACAAGCAGUGGAGCAUGUGGUUUAAUUCGACGCAACGCGAAGAACCUUACCAGCGUUUGACAUGGAAAGUGCCGGUUACAGAAUGGUAACCUUCAGUUCGGCUGGCUUUCGCACAGGUGCUGCAUGGCUGUCGUCAGCUCGUG